GGGGUUAUAUGAGGCCCAACUAGUAUAAUUAGGUUAAUAGAAACAGACUCCAAAAGUUUUCCCUGUCCCAGGUUCUCACUGCAAUCUCUGUUUCCUCAGUCCAUCCUAUGAGACUCUUCCUCAUGCAUCUACUGCCAUAUCUUCCUGCCAUAAUGGACUGAAAUCUGUAAAUUUUCCUCCCUUGCUUUUGUCAGAUAGUUUGAACAGUGGGCACAAAAUAACUCAUAGUACAAUCUUUUGCUGAUUGAUAGAUAAUUGGGUUAUUUACACAUAUUGGCCAUGGUGAAUUGUGAUACUAUACCAUUUCUGUAUAUAAACAUUUGCUUGAUUAAAUCUGUUUUCACAUUUUGACAUGUGACUUGUAAAAUGCCUGAGAAAACAACAUAUAAAAGGAAAAGAUUUAUUUUGGCUUCUUGUUUCAAAGAUUUGCAUCUAUUGUCAUUUGGUGUAUGUUUCUGGGCCUGUAGUGAGGCACGGUUAUUUUUCCCCAUUAAAAAUAGAUCCUUUCCUCAUCUAGUAUUUCAUGGUUACAGGUUCCCCUUCUCUCUUCCUCCCAGUUCUUCCCUACUUCCCCUUCCAUCCAAAUCCAUUCCCUUUCUAUCUCAUUAAAAAAAGAACAUGCUUCUAAGAGAUAACAAUCCAAACACAAGUAAGAAUAAACAAAAACUGUCACAUGGAAGUUAGACAAGACAAACCAACAGAAGUAAAAAAGCCCCAAGAGAAGUCACAAGAAUCAGAGACCCACUAAUUCAUACAUUCAGGAGUCCCAUAAAAUACUAAACUGAAUGCUAUAGUAUAUACACAGAGGACGUGGUACAGAUCCGUGUCAGGCCUGUGCUACUGCUUCAAUCUCUGUGAGUUCAUAAGAGCUUUGUUUGCUUGAUCUCCCAGUGUCCUCCAUCUCCUCUGGCUUUUAAAUUCUUUCUGCUUCAGAUUAUUCCUCGGGGUUUCCUGAGCUCUGAGGGGAGCUCAGGAAGCCCCAUUUAAAACUGUGUGUUACAAGUUCUGUUUCUCUGUGUAAUAUCUGGCAGUGGCUCUCUCUAUAUCCUUUUUCUUUUUUUUUUUUUUUUCCUUAAGAAAAGUAAUAAUUUGGUUUUACACUAGAUCUUUGGGCUAUCUAGUCUCUGGUUUUGGUUAUCAAAGCAGUAUUAGAUAUGGUUUUCAUCGUGCAAAGUGGGCCUUAAGUCAGAUCAAAUUACUCCCAUAAGCUUUGUGCCACCAUUGCCCUAGCAUAAUUUUACAUGCAGGGCAGAUUAUAGAUCAGUAGUUUUGUGGCUAAGUUGCUGUUUACAUUUCUCAUUUGGUAGCCUACAGAGUACCUUCACAAACCAAAGACAAUAAAACAAAAGUAAAGGGUCUAUGUAGACACCAGCCCACCUUCUCCGUGUUCAGUAAGAUUUGUGGGAGUUGUUUUCAGCAGUGGAGAUUUGCUGUCAGUUUAAAGAGAGCAAUCUAUUGCUUUGUGCUUUAUUAACAUCUAUAGAAACUUUAUUAAGAACUCUCAAUUACAUAUCACUAGCCUAGGAAAAUAAAUUAAUAAAGUUUCUACUUUUUUUUUAAGAUCUGUGAGACAUUUCUCAUAGAAAGAAAUAUCUAGGAAGCUCUAGGAAACUGACAUACUGGAGAUGGGAUAUAAUAAGAUACUAAAAACGUUGUAUAGUUUUGGAAUUGGGUAGUAGGUAGUAUUUGAGAUUUAUAUUAUAAAUUGUGUUCUCAAGCAUUGCAGAUUGCUUUGAAGAGAUAAUGGAUAUCAAAGUUAAUCUACGGAAACCUUGGAAGAAAACUGUCAUCUUUGUUAUAAAGUUGCAAAUGAUUAGCUUGUUUUCUAUCAUUGAGUUAAAAGUAGAAUUUAUAAGCAAAGAAUGUUUAUGUUUAGCUGAGGUUUUCUAGCCGUACUUAGAAGAUGCUGCCUAACUUCUAUUUGCUGCUUAUAUAUUUAAAAAAAUAGAGAGAGAGUAGGUUACUUAGC
rnacentral:lncRNA from 1 species